rnacentral:rRNA from 1 species
UACGUAGGGGGCAAGCGUUGUCCGGAGUUACUGGGCGUAAAGCGCACGCAGGCGGUCUCUUAGGUUUGGAGUGACAGUUGGUGGCUUAACUGCCAAAGUGCUUCGAAAACUGAGAGACUUGAGGGCUUCAGAGGGACACGGAAUUCCGGGUGGAGUGGUGAAAUGCGUAGAGAUCCGGAGGAACACCAAAGGCGAAGGCAGUGUCCUGGGGAGUACCUGACGCUCAGGCGCGAAAGCCAGGGGAGCGAACGGG